GGAGGGUUGGCUGAGUGGUCCAAAGCAGCGGUUUGCUAAACCGUGGUCGUGUUAAAAAGCGGCCCGUGAGUUCGAAUCUCACACCCUCCG
rnacentral:tRNA from 1 species